GGUGGCUCAGUGGUAGAGCACUUGCCUUGCAUGCACAAGGCCCUGGGUUCGAAUCCUCAGCACCA
rnacentral:tRNA from 1 species